UGGCGCACGGGUGCGUAACGCGUAUGCAACCUACCUUAAUCAGGGGGAUAGCCCGAAGAAAUUCGGAUUAAGACCGCAUAAAAACACAGGAUAGCAUUAUCCAAUGUUCAAAUAUUUAUAGGAUUAAGAUGGGCAUGCGUGUCAUUAGCUAGUUGGCGGGGUAACGGCCCACCAAGGCGACGAUGACUAGGGGAUCUGAGAGGAUGACCCCCCACACUGGUACUGAGACACGGACCAGACUCCUACGGGAGGCAGCAGUAAGGAAUAUUGGUCAAUGGAGGGAACUCUGAACCAGCCAUGCCGCGUGCAGGAAGACAGCCCUCUGGGUCGUAAACUGCUUUUAUUCGGGAAUAAACCUUUCUACGUGUAGGAAGCUGAAUGUACCGAAGGAAUAAGGAUCGGCUAACUCCGUGCCAGCAGCCGCGGUAAUACGGAGGAUCCAAGCGUUAUCCGGAUUUAUUGGGUUUAAAGGGUGCGUAGGCGGCUUAUUAAGUCAGGGGUGAAAGACGGUGGCUCAACCAUCGCAGUGCCCUUGAUACUGAUGAGCUUGAAUACACUAGAGGUAGGCGGAAUGUGACAAGUAGCGGUGAAAUGCAUAGAUAUGUCACAGAACACCGAUUGCGAACGCAGCUUACUAUGGUGUUAUUGACGCUGAGGCACGAAAGCGUGGGGAUCAAACAGGAUUAGAUACCC
rnacentral:rRNA from 1 species